GCCUGGGUGGUGGAAUUGGUAGACGCGUCGGACUCAAAAUCCGAUAGGGGCAACCCUGUGAGAGUUCGAGUCUCUCCCUAGGCA
rnacentral:tRNA from 1 species